CCUACGGGUGGCAGCAGUGGGGAAUUUUGCGCAAUGCUCGUAAGAGUGACGCAGCGACGCCGCGUGAAUGACGAAGGCCUUCGGGUCGUAAAGUUCUUUCGACAGGGAAGAAAAUGCCUAUAAGUAACUGUGUAUGUAUUGACGGUACCUGUAUAAGCAGCCCCGGCUAACUCCGUGCCAGCAGCCGCGGUAAUCCGGAGGGGGCGAGCGUUGUUCGGGUGGGCUGGGCGUAAAGAGCACUUAGGCGGUGUUGUAAGUCAUUAGUCAAAGACUAGAGCUCAACUUUAGUAAGGCUAGUGAUACUAGAAGACUAGAGUACCAGAGAGGAUGGCAGAAUUCGUGGUGUAGCGGUGAAAUGCGUAGAUAUCAGGAGGAAUACCGUUAGCGAAGGCGGCAAUCUGGCUGGAAACUGACGCUGAGGUGCGAAAGCGUGGGUAGCAAACAGGAUUAGAUACCCGUGUAGUC
rnacentral:rRNA from 1 species